rnacentral:lncRNA from 1 species
UUGGCUUUAGAUGUCAUUUUUAGAAAGUCUUAUUCCUUGAUUAUGAAAUUCUUCCUCAGAUCUUCAACUAUCAUUAUGCUUUUUUACAUUUAAAUUAUAAUUGCUCUGAAAUUUAAUUUGACAUAAUGUUUUGUUUUGUUCUGGUUUUCUCCAGACAUGGAGAAUAAGUCUUUUUCCUUCAGGGUUCCAUGUCUCUCCUUAUGUCGUUCACUGAUACUUCAGGAUUAUUAAUUCUGUGCCCUAAUUCCAUCUGCUCUCUACUCCUAAACGGACUUUCACUCUACUCCUGAACUACUUGCCAAUAUGGCCAUUUGAAUUCAGAAAGUACUCCUGACACAAAUAUUCAUGCAAUGAUACUUAGGACAUUCAUACAAAUUCCUCAAGUUCUGAAAAAUCAUUUCAAAACCAUCCAAGUCUCCGUAAAGUAUCAGCUUUCCUGCCACCCCGCUGGCAGGAAAUGGUCUAAGUGUCUCAGCUCAUUUAAGAAGCAACUUAAGUAAAAGGUAACACUUCUAGCUGUCUAAGAGUUUAUCAAAGUCUCCUGUUCACAGAAAAGGACUGAAUUUUCUCUUGUGCUGCUGCCACUUUACUUGAUCCACACAGGUGACAAGUCAGAGUGUAGCAUUUUCCUUACAAAGACGUUUCCUGUGUCCUCUGAUCACAGACCUGACAUUAGAAAGACAGUGAAACCUAAAGCCAAUGGUGAAGAAAAGGAAUCUGUCCCACUGUAUUAUCAAAAAUUGGUCUCCUUUUCUCAUUCAGGUUUAUCCAUAAAGGUUUUCUAAUCACUUGGUGACAGCUCUACAUCUGGAGCCUCUGUGUAGUUUGACAGAACUGAGGUGAGAGAAGGCAUAUUUCUGUUCCUACAGAAUAAAAUUCUGUAUAAAUAAAAGGAAGGCCCUUUCCCUUUUUUCCGUAGAAUAGUCAGUGAGGUACUAUGAAAGGUAGACUUUCAUGAAUCAAGCAGAAUAAACUGAAUGUGUUGGCUAUUUCCAAAUCACAAUGGCUCCAUGUUCUCUCUCAUCUGAAAGCCAAUAGUCUCUGCUUUGUAUCAAUGAAUUUGUUUUCUUUUGAACUAACUAUUGUAGGCUUCAGGUUAAGAAAUUGCUCUGUGAGUAUUAAUCACAAUUUUAUUUCAUGUCUUCCAAGCAGGUCAUAACGUGUCCCUCCAACAAUACUAUCCCAUCUCUCCCCCAGAAAUUCCUUCAGGGAAACUGGCAUCAUCUUUCCAUUUGUUAGUCUUUUGUUGUAUUUUCUCCCCGUCACUGGAAGAAGGAUGAAGUCAUCUAGCUGAACAGGUUUAUUUCUUCUUAAUUAAUAAAAAAAAAAUAUGCCAGAGGAGGCUUAUUUUUUUCUGGAGGAUCACUGUGAGCUGUGAUGAUUUACCGGUCUGUUAUUGAGUAUGUCACCUACGAAACUAAUGCAGAAGGCACUAGAAAUGUUGCCACAAUCCACUCACCUGUUUGGUGAUGGGAGCAAGUAGAAGUAUUGUGAAACUUUAAGUGCUUAGUUUCUAUGAUCCAGUUGCAUUCAUGGAGUCACCAUUUGCACCAGGGUCCCCGGAGGAUAGGAAAGUUAGCAUAAAGUAGGGUAUCUCGUGAUACAGUUUUUGAAGUGUAAGCUGUAAGCAGGUCUCCUGCAAGCUGUGCACCUGAACUGCUUUUUUGUGUUUGGUAUCCACCUAAAUAGUGUCAGUCAGACCAUACUGAAGAUUGGCAGUGAUACAGAAGACAGGAGGUACCAUACCUUUUGAAAAGCUAUGAUUUAGCCAUGUGGAAUCCACCCUGUCUCCGAUAGGGAACUUGCAAGCUUUGGCAGGUCUUCCCGUGCUGGUCUGCCAGCCUCCACACAUUAUAUUUUGAAAGCACUUCCUCCAACUGCCGCUGAGUUGGCAGGGUGGACCUCCUGUGGAUCAGUUUUUCCAUUCUCUCAGUCCUGCUCAGGCACGGUGUUCUGUUGUCUGUCAACUUUCUAUUCUAGACCAGGCCCUGCCCUUGGCCUGCUAGAAA